AAGAGAAGGCUGAAGCAGGUAGAGAGAGAGGAUGGACUGGCCUUAUGUGGGUUCAUGAUUUUGUGGGCAAGGAAACAUCUCGGCGAGUACCACCGUUUAGUCCAAGAGGACGAAGCUCGGUUCCAGGAUCCUGAAGGAGGCAGCACUAGUGGCAAAGGACACAGUUGUAUGUGCCUUUCAUAAGGAAAACAUGGAGUGGUGCCUAUGUGUCUGGAGGGGCUGGGGCUGCCACGAGCUGGAGGUCUUCUACCAGUCCUACGAGGAGCUGAGCCACUUGGAGACCAGCAUAAGGAAAAGAAAGUAGCUGUUGUGCUGCGACGGCAAGGUGCAGAAUUGCAGCUCUGUAUGGAGGAUGACCCGAGGGGAAUACACACAGACACUCUGCCAGUUCUCAGAGCGAACACGGACAUCAGGUCAUUUUCAUAUUUAGUGCUGUAUGGUAUUUUUGGCCCCUGUUUGAUAUGAGUGGGAUUCAGUUCAAGAUGUGGUGGAUUCUGCCUCCAACUGCUGCAGUCCAUUGUGUAUCCUUCGUCUGUCCAAUUCAGUUUCCCUUCAUUUAACUAUUCCAAUCUGCCACUUUAUGCCCUCUGGAGGUGACACUCAAUGUGGACAUUCGUAAAGGAAAAGGGUUAAUUGGUAUUAACAGCAAUGUUCUUGAAACAAACAGCUGGUUGUGGAUUGGUGGAUGCAGUAGAUGUGUACAGAGACAUCAUUAUCUGUAUCUGUUUAACCAACAAAAUGAUCUGUCUUUAUAUCUGUAUUCAGAUAGAGGGCCCAAUGUGGGUGUGGUUUAUAAAGGAAGCCAUGUUAAAUCACAUGUUGUAUUUUCUAACCUCAUAUACACUGGCAAUGGAAUUGUUUUGCCUUUAAAGCAUCAACUUGAUAAUAUAAUAAUACAUCCUACACUUUUCAUCUCUCUCUCUCUUUUAUUUUUUUAUUUUUAGCCAAACAAACUGUCUGAACCCUCCACCACCCAACCUUUAACUGGGAGACAUUGAACAAACAGAAACUGAAGAACAAUGUUUUCUAAAUUAACUAUAUAGAACCAUAUCCUUCAGUUGAGGGGAAUAAUCUUAAAUUCCAAUGGGCUUCAAUCACAUUAAAUGUCAAUCCAACAACACUAGUAGAACAACAUGGCGCCACCGAGCCAUGAUGUCCAAACAAUCUGCAUAGACCGAUUUUGCAGCCUGUGCAUAGAACUGAGUUAUAAGUAUACAACAGCCUUCUUCUGUACAGCAUCACUACAGUUAACCAGAAAAUCACCAAACAAAUCACCAACAAUAAAUAAAAAGAGCUAUGGAUACUGUGGCAGGUGCAACAAGCAAUAUUAGGUUACAGAAAUGAAAUAAAACAUAAGCAAUGCAAAUAAAACAGAGGUGUAUGAAAAAUAUAAAGUCCACAGUGGCUCCAGCCACAAACACACAUAUCAAAGCAGAGAGAGCGGCGCAGUUUUCACACAUUGUGACAGAUGCACACUGCACUGUGGUACACAGGGAAUACAGUCAUUGUACUCACCUGUCUAAAUGUCAUUCUGUUUAUAUUAUGGCCAAUCCUCUCAGCCUCUGGGUCCAAAUAUAACCAGUCCACCUCUUUGUCCCACUAAAACCAGUCUGCUUAGCCUACUGCUCACAAACUGCUAGGCCUGGCCCGGGAGAGACUGCAUGUAUCCCCCAACACUGGCCAGUGGAGCUGGGGUAGAAGAAAUAUGCAUUUUCAUUCCAUUAUUUAUGCUUUCCUAAAUAACGGCACUGACACUUUCACACACUUGUCCUCUCUCAUCUAGUAUAUUUUAGAUGUGGCAUAUGAAUCUGCAUGCCAGCUGCAGCUCCAAUUGUUACCAAAGUGGCCUGGAAGCAAAAAAUGAACAUCUGUGUUCUGUGUUAUGCAACAGACCACUGGUUCCCAGCUUGUGCCAAUAAAAACCUAAUACUUUGACGGAUAAAAGACCACAAUGGUUUAAAUGAUUCUGGCAUAAGCCUCCACUGUGAGUUACUUGCUCGACUGUGUUCCACUAGUAUCUGUACCUCAAAAAGAAUAAAAAAACAAGAUGAAACCA